CCUACGGGCGGCAGCAGUGGGGAAUAUUGGACAAUGGGGGCAACCCUGAUCCAGCCAUGCCGCGUGUGUGAAGAAGGCCCUCGGGUUGUAAAGCACUUUCAGUGAGGAAGAACGCCUGGUGGUUAAUACCCAUCAGGAAAGACAUCACUCACAGAAGAAGCACCGGCUAACUCCGUGCCAGCAGCCGCGGUAAUACGGAGGGUGCGAGCGUUAAUCGGAAUUACUGGGCGUAAAGCGCGCGUAGGUGGCUUGAUAAGCCGGUUGUGAAAGCCCCGGGCUCAACCUGGGAACGGCAUCCGGAACUGUCAAGCUAGAGUGCAGGAGAGGAAGGUAGAAUUCCCGGUGUAGCGGUGAAAUGCGUAGAGAUCGGGAGGAAUACCAGUGGCGAAGGCGGCCUUCUGGACUGAUACUGACACUGAGGUGCGAAAGCGUGGGUAGCAAACAGGAUUAGAUACCCUAGUAGUC
rnacentral:rRNA from 1 species